rnacentral:rRNA from 1 species
GAUGAACGCUGGCGGCGUGCUUAACACAUGCAAGUCGAACGGAAAGGCCCAAGCUUGCUUGGGUACUCGAGUGGCGAACGGGUGAGUAACACGUGGGUGAUCUGCCCUGCACUUCGGGAUAAGCCUGGGAAACUGGGUCUAAUACCGGAUAGGACCACAUUUUGGAUGGUGUGGUGGAAAGUUUUUCGGUGUGGGAUGAGCUCGCGGCCUAUCAGCUUGUUGGUGGGGUAAUGGCCUACCAAGGCGUCGACGGGUAGCCGGCCUGAGAGGGUGUACGGCCACAUUGGGACUGGGAUACGGCCCAGACUCCUACGGGAGGCAGCAGUGGGGAAGAUUGCACAAUGGGCGCAAGCCUGAUGCAGCGACGCCGCGUGGGGGAUGACGGCCUUCGGGUUGUAAACUCCUUUCGCUAGGGACGAAGCGUUAUGUGACGGUACCUGGAGAAGAAGCACCGGCUAACUACGUG